CCUAACAACACACAACAUUCCAGGAAUGUACUACCAAAGUUCUAUCAAUAUUUGAAUGUCCUGGACAUUUAGGGAACAUUCGGUGAACAUAUGUUUAAAUUAUUCCUGGAAUGUUACCAUAAGACAUUCUGUGAACAUACUACCAAUGUUCCUAUAUUUUAAGUUGCGAAAUAAUACAUACGUGUAAGAGAUACAACAUUACUUAUAACAUACCAGACAAACUAAGUGACAUUUUAGGCCUACAGUGCAAUAAUAUGUCAAAUUUAAAGAGUUUCCCAAGAUUAUAAACAUACAAAUGUAAUAAAAAUUAUUGUUCGCGAAUAUUCAAUUUGGAAUGCGAUUUUGUUAAUAAAAAAAAUACUUAUAACUUAUGCAAAACCCAAGAGAGGCAUUUAUAUUUAUUUCUUUUGCGUUCAUUUUCAAAUUCGCCGUGCAUAUAUGUUUGUGCAUGGCGCUUGAGAGGGCAUCACGUGACUAAAAACGACCAACCAACGACCUCGCUUCGGCCAUCUUGGCAUCUUCAUCUUGGCCACCUUGUUUUGCCGUGGAUUGUUUUUAGUUGUUUGUAUUAUUUGUGCUUUUUAAGAAUAUUUUUUUAAUUCGGAUACUUUUAUAAUAGCUUUAAUAGUAUUAUUAACAUAGUGCAUAAAAUGGUGUCCUGUUUUUAACGCAGUUGGAGUAGCAGAAACAAAUGUAGAUAAAAAAAUCUGCAGGAAUAACGUUUCAAUUAUGACAGAAGCUCAAAACAAAUGACUGUGAAUGAAAAGCCCUAUUAAAAGCUUUCCAGAAGAUCCUGCGAAGAAGACAUGAAGUAUAGAUCAGAUUUGUUAAUAGAGGAGUAUGUUCAAAACACUUUUUAGAAAAAGAUAUUGACAGAACUUCACUUUCAUCUGUUCGUUUGAGAGACUGUGCUGUUCCAAUAGCUUAUGUCACACAGAAUCAGCUGAGAGAAGUGGUCUACAAAAAACCAGAAAGGAAACGGAAUAUGUGGCUACGAAAAGCAAAAGAAAGGUUUACAAAGCAAAUGUGACACAUUUUUUUAUAAUAUUUAGGAAUGUCAGCAAAUUACAUUAAAAAAUGUAUGUAAAGAUUUUUUGCAAUAAAAAUGUUUAUAUUUAUCAAGGAUGUAUUAUUUGGUAUGGCCAUAUAUCGUCAGUGAUGUGACAGUACCUCCUAUCUGUUUUUUUCAAGAGAUUUGUAAGAUAGACUAAAAACUUGUUUCGGCCACCUCCUGUUUUCAUAUAUUUUUUGACUUGUUUUGCAGUAAAUUCAACUAUCUAUUUACUACAAAAAAAGUCAGAAUACGUACGAAACCAGAAAGUGACCUUAAAAAAUGUUUUUCGUCUCCUGCAAACCUCAUGAAAAAACAUAUGAGGUAUUGUCACAUUACUGACGAUAUAUUUCAGUGAAUGUCUAAAAAAUAUACUGUGAAUGUUCAAAGAACGUUCGUAGACAUUCAUGGAAUGUUCUAACAAGACAUUCAGUCUAAAAAUAUACUGUGAAUGUCCAAAGAACAUUCAUGGAAUGUUCCAACAAGACAUUCAGUCUAAAAAAUAGACUGUGAAUGUCCAAAGAACAUUCGUAGACAUUCAUGGAAUGUUCCAACAGAACAUUCUAAGAAUAUUUAAAAUGCUGACACAGCACUUUCCUGGUACUUUCCAGGGACAUUCGUGUGCAUUUGGGGACAUUCCAGGAAUGUUUUCAAUGUCCUGUGUGUACAUUCUAGGAACAUUCAUGGAAUGUUUUGUGUUAUUAGGGAUCUUUGUCUUACAACGCACUC
rnacentral:lncRNA from 1 species